rnacentral:rRNA from 2 species
UAGAGUUUGAUCCUGGCUCAGAUUGAACGCUGGCGGCAGGCCUAACACAUGCAAGUCGAGCGGUAGAAGGAAGCUUGCUUCCUUUGAGAGCGGCGGACGGGUGAGUAAUGCCUAGGAAUCUGCCUGGUAGUGGGGGAUAACGUUCGGAAACGGACGCUAAUACCGCAUACGUCCUACGGGAGAAAGCAGGGGACCUUCGGGCCUUGCGCUAUCAGAUGAGCCUAGGUCGGAUUAGCUUGUUGGUGAGGUAAUGGCUCACCAAGGCGACGAUCCGUAACUGGUCUGAGAGGAUGAUCAGUCACACUGGAACUGAGACACGGUCCAGACUCCUACGGGAGGCAGCAGUGGGGAAUAUUGGACAAUGGGCGAAAGCCUGAUCCAGCCAUGCCGCGUGUGUGAAGAAGGUCUUAGGAUUGUAAAGCACUUUAAGUUGGGAGGAAGGGUUGUAGUUUAAUACGCUGCAAUCUUGACGUUACCGACAGAAUAAGCACCGGCUAACUCUGUGCCAGCAGCCGCGGUAAUACAGAGGGUGCAAGCGUUAAUCGGAAUUACUGGGCGUAAAGCGCGCGUAGGUGGCAAAGUAANAUGGGUGUGAAAUCCCCGGGCUCAACCUGGGAACUGCAUCCAUAACUGCUUCCUAAAGUACGGUAAA